AAUAUAACAAGAGGCUGUCACAACGACAGCAAACCGGAUUUAUUAAUAUUUAUUUGUGUCCUGGCAAUAUCACAAGAACCAUUACUGAUGAAUGGUGAAAGUGAAAAUCGUCAAUAUCAAAUUUGACCUCCAUUUUGUCAUCAGUAUCAACAUCUUAAAAUUUGAAAAGCUUAGAUUGAAUGGUUCAUGAGUAAAUGCAACAACAUGAAUGGAAACGCCAUUUCACAAUCUUUCAAGAACCAUAACUCCUGAACAGUAAAAGUCAAAAUCGUCAUAAUUGAACUUGACUUUUAAUUUGCCAUCAGUAACAACAUAAAAAAAUUUCAAAAGCUUUGGUUGAAUGGUUCAUGAGAAAAUGCACGGACACGACUGGAAACACCAUUUUUCAAUCUUUCAAGAACCAUAACUCCUGAACGGUAAAAGUCAAAAUCGUCAUUAUUGAACUUGACCUCCAUUUUGUCAUCAGUAACAACAUAUUAAAAUUUGGGAAGCUUAGGUAGAACAGUUCAUGCGUAAAUGCACGGACACGACUGGAAACUCCAUUUUUCAAUCUUUCAAGAACCAUAACUCCUGAACAGUAAAAGUCAAAAUCGCCAUUAUUGAAUUUGACCUCCAUUUUGUCAUCAGUAACAACAUAAUUAAAAUUUGGGAAGCUUAGGUAGAACAGUUCAUGCGUAAAUGCAUGGACACGACUGUAAACUCCAUUUUUCAAUCUUUCAAGAACCAUAACUCCUGAACGGUAAAAGUCAAAAUCGCCCAUUAUUGAACUUGACCUUCAUUUAGUUGUCAGUAACAACAUAUUAAAUUUUAAAA
rnacentral:lncRNA from 1 species